AACGCACCUUGCGCUCCUUGGUAUUCCGAGGAGCAUGCCUGUUUGAGUGUCAUUAAAUUAUCAACCUCUUCUUUAGAGGCUUGGAUUUGGAGUGUUGCUGGCUCAUUGUUGGCUCCUCUUAAAUGCAUCAAGCUUGUUGUAGGCUUUGGUUUGAUAAUAUCUAUGCCAUCGCUGUAAUGCAAAACAAACAAACAACCUUUGAAAUUUGACCUCAAAUCAGGUAGGACUACCCGCUGAACUUAA
rnacentral:misc_RNA from 1 species